CCUGGUUGAUCCUGCCAGUAGUCAUAUGCUUGUCUCAAAGAUUACGCCAUGCAUAUCUAAGUAUAAACAAUUUUGUACUGUAAAACUGGAAAUGGCUCGUUACAUCAGUUAUAGUUUAUUUGAUGUACCUUCCUACUUGGAUAAUCAUGGUAAUUCUAGAGCUAAUACAUGCUAAAAAUCUCGACUUCUGGAGGGGAUGUAUUUGUUAGAGAAAAAACCAACCUUUUGGGUAUUUUGGUGAUUCAUGAUAACUUUCGAAUCAUAUGACCUUGUGUCGACGAUGGUUCAUUCAAAUUUCUGCCCUAUCAACUUUCAAUGGUAGGAUAGAGGCCUACCAUGGUUUCAGCAGGUAACAGAGAAUUAGGGUUCGAUUCUGGAGAGGGAGCCUGAGAAACGGCUACCACAUCCAAGGAAGGCAGCAGGCGCGCAAAUCACCCAAUCCUGAUACAAGGAGGUAGUGACAAUAAAUAACAAUAAAGGGCACUUUGAGUCUUGUCAUUGGAAUCAGUACAAUUUUAAUCCCUCAACAAAGAACAAUUGGAGGGCUAGUGUGGUGCAAGCAGCUGUGGUAAUUCCAGCUCCAAUAGCGUAUAUUAAAGUUGUUGCAGUUAAAAAGCGCCUAGUUGAAUUGUGGGUCUGGUCCGGUGGUCUUGCCGCAAAGUAAGCACUGCACUGAUCGGGUUGUUCCUUCUGGAUAACCUUCUGGAUAACUGGACUCACCAACACCACUACAUGUGCAAUUCUAGCCCACCAAAGGCUCGGAGGAAAUCAUGUAACAAAACCCUUUCAUGAGCGCCUGGUGCAAGAAGCAAUUCCACAACAAGGUAAUGUUGUACUUCUCCCCUGAUCUGAAUAAGCUUAACUGAAUCAGAAUCCACGCGACAAAGGGUCACUUCACAAGGAGGACCUUUGUGAUCAGAGGAAAGCCAGACCCAAUCAACCCCCAACUGACAAAGGCCAGGAAGGCUUUCCCAGCGAAGUCAUCAAAAUGUACCACCCCACUGGCCUCUACGA
rnacentral:rRNA from 1 species